GUCCUGUGCCCAGAGGAAACAUUUUUCUGAAAACUUCUGCGCUGGGGCAGAUUUAGGGCAAAGUUAACACUUCAAAAAUAUCUCCAGUAAUUGAGUAAAUUGCUCAUCUGUCAAAUUGGCUCUUUGGCAAAUUACUCUGCUUGCACAUAUUAAUAGCCAAGCUUAGCCAACUUGAAAUAUGGAGAUUUACUGGAAAUCACAGUGAAGUGAAGAGAGAGGCAAGAGCAGAAUUGAAAUUCCCACCUGGCAGCAAAAGAGAGUUAUGCAGAGCCUAUCAGGACCCGUGUUCACACCAGCACUUAGUUUGGAGGAAGCACCUGGAGGAGAUGCAGAGUCCAGAUGUGCGCCCUCUGCCGGAAGCCUACUGCACCAGGACGUAGGCCUGGAGUGGCCCUUAACGCAUUUGGAAAUCAGUCUUCACUAAAAAAACUUCCUCCAAAAUGUUCUUUAACAGCCCUUUAAAAGCCAUUGUUUCAAAACAGUCCAAGGUGGUGAACAAUUAAUAUUUUCGAUUUACAUGAAGACUCUGGAGUAGGAAUUACCUGAGUUGGAAACUCAGUUCUACUCUAUUGGUAUCAGGUUGCAUUCUGUAUCAUCAUUAAAAUUUUCAGAAAAACUCUC
rnacentral:lncRNA from 1 species